AUUGAACGCUGGCGGCAUGCCUUACACAUGCAAGUCGAACGGUAACAGGUCUUCGGAUGCUGACGAGUGGCGAACGGGUGCGUAAUACAUCGGAACGUGCCCGAUCGUGGGGGAUAACGAGGCGAAAGCUUUGCUAAUACCGCAUACGAUCUACGGAUGAAAGCGGGGGAUCUUCGGACCUCGCGCGGACGGAGCGGCCGAUGGCAGAUUAGGUAGGUGGUGGGAUAAAAGCUUACCAAGCCGACGAUCUGUAGCUGGUCUGAGAGGAUGAUCAGCCACACUGGGACUGAGACACGGCCCAGACUCCUACGGGAGGCAGCAGUGGGGAAUUUUGGACAAUGGGCGAAAGCCUGAUCCAGCCAUGCCGCGUGCAGGAUGAAGGCCUUCGGGUUGUAAACUGCUUUUGUACGGAACGAAAAGCCUCUUUCUAAUAAAGAGGGGUCAUGACGGUACCGUAAGAAUAAGCACCGGCUAACUACGUG
rnacentral:rRNA from 1 species